UUCAUCAGAAAGUUCCUCUGUCAGGCGCUUCCGCGGGCGGCGCGGGGCAAACCCCACAAAGGCGGCCGCGACGCUCGCUGCGCGCGGUAACAAAGGGAAGACAAAGCGCACGGAUCCCGCCUUGGGUUUCGAAUAAUCAAAUUUUUGAAGACUACUUGAGUUGAAGACUGACAUGUUCUCAUGUCCUAAGCAACUGCAAAGACUUUAAAGUGAAAAUAGAAUAUGACCUUUUGAUUUCUCAUUUUACAUUACUCUAUUUAUGGGCCAAAUUUUAAAGAGAUGCAACGUGUCUAGGAUUAUGUAUGCGGUUGGAGCGUGUUGAAGAAAAGAUGUGACUAACGUUGGAUCGGGGAUAUUUUUUCCCUUCGCAAUUUACAUAUCAGAAAUUUCUACAAUUAUAAAUAUCCGUGUAUCUGACUUUAAAUACUAAAU